rnacentral:rRNA from 1 species
GAUGAACGCUGGCGGCGUGCCUAAUACAUGCAAGUCGAGCGAAUGGAUUAAGAGCUUGCUCUUAUGAAGUUAGCGGCGGACGGGUGAGUAACACGUGGGUAACCUGCCCAUAAGACUGGGAUAACUCCGGGAAACCGGGGCUAAUACCGGAUAACAUUUUGAACCGCAUGGUUCGAAAUUGAAAGGCGGCUUCGGCUGUCACUUAUGGAUGGACCCGCGUCGCAUUAGCUAGUUGGUGAGGUAACGGCUCACCAAGGCAACGAUGCGUAGCCGACCUGAGAGGGGGAACGGGCACACUGGGACUGAGAAACGGCCCAGACGCCUACGGGAGGCAGCAGUAGGGAAUCUUCCGCAAUGGACGAAAGUCUGACGGAGCAACGCCGCGUGAGUGAUGAAGGCUUUCGGGUCGUAAAACUCUGUUGUUAGGGAAGAACAAGUGCUAGUUGAAUAAGCUGGCACCUUGACGGUACCUAACCAGAAAGCCACGGCUAACUACGUGCCAGCAGCCGCGGUAA